CUUUGCCUGCAAAAACGCUCAAUCGCUUGUGACGGCCGGCAACCUUGAUUUUCGCUACUCGUCAGAGGGAAAUUGUGAAUUUGUUUCGUUUUUUAGUGAUAAUUCUUUGACCUCAAAUUAAUUCAAGUUACCGCAAUGUACUUACAGUGUAAUUAAUACACAGCUCUGUGUCGUGGGCAUUAUACAUGUUUUGAGAAGGCGUGCUUGAACCGAGACCCCAGAGUCAUGGCUGCUUUCAACUUCUACCUCUUUGUAGUGCUUUAUUGACUUUUUUUAGAUCUACUCAGCACCUCUGAGUUUACAAUUAUCUACACUCUACAAGUUGAGUAACCGUAAUCCAUCAUGAUGUACACGGGGACAACAGCGGAGCAGGACACUCGCUUCAGUGACAAAGAAAAGAAACUUCUCAAGCAAAUGAAGUUUGGAGAUGCACUCACCAGAAGAGUUGACAUGUCCAAAGUCAAAUUUGACACCAUCAAACCCUGGAUCAGUCAAAAAAUCACCAAACUCCUGGGAAUGGAAGACGAUGUCGUGGUGGAAUUUGUGUUUAACCAGCUUGAAGCAGAAAAGUUUCCAGACCCCAAGAAAAUGCAGAUCAAUCUGACAGGUUUUCUGAAUGGAAAAAAUGCUCGUGUUUUCAUGACUGACCUUUGGGAGCUCCUUCUAUCUGCCCAAGAUUCAGUGACAGGCAUUCCGGAGCAAUUUAUUGAAAAGAAAAAAGAAGAAAUUAAAAAGAGAAUGGAAGAGCAAGAGAAGAUAAAUGACAUUGCCAAGAAGUUGGAGAAAGAGCGUGAAUCCAGGGAUAAAAAGAAAGAUAAGAGGAGGAGUCAUUCCAGGGAGCGACACCGAUCAAAGGACAAGGAUCGCCACCGCGAUAGGGACCGAGAUGACAAGAAGAGUCGCAGCAAAGAUCACAAGAGAUCUCGAUCCAGAUCCAGGAGUAUUUCGAAGAAGGAAGAUAAGGCAAAGUUAGAUAACGGCACUGCUCGGAGUUCCUCUCCUCAAAAUGAAAAUGGAAAAAGUGAUGAUGCUGAGGGCAAAAAAGGAAAAGGCGAUGAUAAAAAAUCUACCUCACGAUCCAGAUCACGGUCUAAAUCUGGUGACAGAAGCGAAUCAGGGUCGCCAGUGAAGGUGAAAAAAGAGAAUCGAUCCAGGUCAAGGUCUGGAUCUUCUGGCUCAGAUUCUGCCCGGAAUGGUGAUGCUGACAACGGCAAUCACAAAAAAUGCUCUCCAUCGCACUCAAGAUCUCGCUCAAGGUCCAAAUCGAAGUCUGAUCGCCGUGACAAAUCUCGCAGCUCAAGUAGUAGUUCCUCAUCAUCGAAGCACUCUGACAAAGCUUCCAAGGACAGUGACUUUGAAAUUCGCAAGAAAGAAAAUAGCAUCCAAAAAAAGCGUCAGUAUAGAUCAAACAAAGAUGAAUCCUCUGACAGUGACUCGGACCAUUACCGAAAAGGUUCCCGCCAUGGCAGAGAUCGCCGUGAUAAAUCUCGAUCUAGAUCCCGCAGGCGCUCUAAAUCGCGCUCCAGGGACCGCUACAGCCGCCGAAGUAGCCGCAGGUCUGCUGAUAGAGAUAGAGAAAGAGAGCGUGAACGAGAACGCGCACGUGAGCGUGAACGUAGAUUCCGUGAACGUGCAAGGAGAGAAAGAGAGGAACGGCAGAGGAGAGAGGAAGAACGCAGAGAAAGGGAGCGAGAACGCCGUGAAAGAGAGAGGCGGGAGCGAGAAAGAGAGCAGCGUGAAAGGGAACGUGAGCGAGAACGCAGAGAGAGAGAAAGAGAACGUGAACGUGAGAAAGAGAAGGAAAAAGAGCGUGAAAGAGAAGCAGAACGUGAACGAGAACGAGCUAAAGCGGCAACCAGAGAUAGAGACAGGGAAAAAGAUAGAAAGGAUCGAGACCGUGAUGUUGAUAGAAAGAGGCGUAGAUCGUCUAGCCGACGUCGGUCAAGGUCAACCAGCCGUAGAUCAAAAUCAAAGAGCCCUUAUUCAAGGAGCCUAUCAAGAACACCAUCACCGUUUAAAAAGUCUGAAGAAAAGGAAGCAAAAUCUUCCAAGCAUGAUAAAUCCAGGGACCGUGACAGGAGCUCUGAGGGUAAAAGCACCUCGCGCAGGAAGUCGGAAUCACCUGAUCAUAGACGCCGUAGCAGUGAUGCACAUCAUAAAAAAUCAAAAGACUCCUCCUCUGAAUCAGAUGAUGAUGAUAAAUCAAAGAAAAAGAAAAAACGCAAGCAUGAAUCAAGUGACUCUGAGAAGUCUGAAGUCGAAAAGGUAAAGGAGAAGAAGAAAAAGAAAAGGAAAGAUUCAAGCUCUUCUGAAGAAGAUGAACCAGCAAAGAAGAAGCACAAGAAGGAUUCCUCUUCAUCUGAGCGUAGUGUGGAAAAAGCCUCCAAAAAGAAAAAGAAGAAGAAAUCAAAGGCCUCCAGCUCCAGCUCUGAGGAAAGUGAUGGUGAUGAGAAAAAGAAGAAAAAGGACAAGAAACAUAAGAAGCACAAGAAACACAAGAAGCACAAGAAACAUAAGAAACGCAAAGAGGAUGCAAGUAGUUCUGAUUCUGAUGUUGACUCAGAACCCUCUGAAGAACGUGAGCAGCGCCUUCGUGAAAAAGCUCUCAAGUCCAUGAAGAAGCAGAAGCAACAGAAGCCCUCAGAAGAAAGUGGCAGCUCAAGUGACUAAAAGCGGCUUAACAGUGUUCUCUCCCUUGAAGCCAUACAUCGCAGUUUGUUUCGCGCAGUGGUCACAGAUUUUUCCAGCAAGCGGUUUCCAGCUCUUCUCAUCCCUCAUCAGUUUUCGCCAACUGACAUCUAUUUCCGCUGACCUACAUGAGUCAUCAUUGCUUUCUCCGAUCUUCACUCAUCAGCAUCUUUACUCCUCUGCUGUAUGUACCCCAUCUCAACGAGGAUCUGACCUCCAUCAUCAUCUUCUUGCAUUUUCAUCCUGUUGCGGAAGUUCAUCUUUAUCUGUCAUCCACCCUGUUCCUGUUUCUGCACAUCCCAAGUCUCUUCAUUAUCCUCUGCGUGGCCAUGUGAAGGAAGUCUCUCACUUUUUAAGCGGAAUGAAGCAGCCUCUAUGGAAUCCUGAGUCUAUGACCUGCUGCAAAUGACUGGACAUGUGUUGAACCAAAAUUGUUUUCAGGUUUGCUGUUAAAGAGCCGAAACAACAUUAGAAGAGUUGGAAACCUUUGCUUGGAACUGUGUUCACACCUUCGGUCUUUUCGAAUUCACAAAGGAGGCGUAUUUUGGUGAGUUAGGACUGCCAAGUUCAGCAAAUUAUUUCUUCUCACAGCCGGGUACCAGUUUAUGUAUUAAUUGUAAUUCUACAUAUUUUAAUCACUUGAUCGUUUUAUUGAUAUUCUUAUCAGCUUCACAUUUUCUAGUAAAAAAAUAUCAAGUUGAUUUUGCCUCACUUUAAAGCAUAUGAAUUAAGUUUUGAUUGCAUUUUCUCCCUUUUUUUCUGUUCUGUACAAUCAACAAUUUGA